rnacentral:lncRNA from 1 species
UGUGAACAAAUCCAGGCUUUCGGAAGCACGUGAUUCUGCAGAAAUGCCACAUUCUCUUCCACAUGGGCUGUGGGCUCUGAGUCCCCCUUUGCUUCCUCGGCCUAUGUACCUGCUGAAGAAGACAGGUGUGUCGUGUACAUGCAACCUAAGGAGGUAACCUUUUACCCAGCCUGAGACUUCAGAGGGUAUUCAUAUUGGGGACCAGCAGCCCGUGAUGUUUGUCCCCCAGAGAGGGGGAGAGAGCUGCUGCCUGCAGAGUGGCUGCUCCUGCUUUGCACGGCCCCUGGCUUCUGCAUCCCUCCAUCCUCCAGCUGGGCACAGAGGUUGCCAAAAGGGCCAGUAGGAGGAGAAGGCUUCAUGGAGGACGGGGGCAAGAGCGGGCCGACCAUGCUGGCUUCCUCGCCUUGUGUCUGGCUGACUGCACAGGCCUGAGGAGGUAACCAACAGCAGAAACAGCUCUGGACAAAUGAGCAAAGGAAGACUCGACUGAGUUUCCCCAGAAUGGAGAGGAGCUGAGGAAGCUCCAGGGCCCACAGCGGAAGCUGGUGGACCAUUUCACUAGGACCCUGGGAGCAAAUCAGUCUGACUUGUGUUUGGCCCCUGAAUCCCCCUGCUCAAGGCUCAGAGUCCUGGAGAAUUGAGGGCAACCCCCACAUUGCAUGCCAUGGAUGGUGGCUUCCCCAGGGGAGUCGGGGUGCUAGGACUAGAGCAUGCCUCCUACAAAUGUUGACUUCCCCAGAAAAAUACCAGCUCUCUUAAGUAAGGGUGGGUCUAUCUGUGGGGAUGAUAGGGUCACCCUUAUUAUUCAUACGUUCCCUGGGCCUGAGAACUUACCUGGAA